UGCCGCGGCGCUGCCGCGAGGCGGCGCUGGGGGAACCCAGCUGGGCCCGGCCCGCUCCCUCAAGUUCGCGCCGUGGGUUUUCCUCUUUGCCGUGACGGUGCUGAGGGGUGCGUUCGGGAGUCGCUCCCAUCUCCCCACACAGUGCUGCUGCUGCUAAAACGCUGCGCACCAGGAGAGCAGGAAAAAACAUCGCAGGGAAACAAACGAGCCUCUGUAUCCAGGAGUCCCUUGCACGGGCAAAAGGUUCAAGGAUGCCUGAGCAAAACCCAGGACAGCCCUAGAGCUCCCUCAGUUCAAUGCUGCCUGAGCAUCCUCAGCGCCUUCCAGGCGCUUAAAUCCAAAUCUUCGGGACCAAUCCUGCAUUCAUAAAGCAUCGAGCUGAAGCUUUGAUGGCAAGGUGGAACAUCUUUGGACAAAGAGAAGCACAGCCAGCCUCUGAAAAGCAGACCCUUUUGGAUAAAUUGACCUGGAUAAAACAACAAGGACAAGAUAGCAUUCAACUCAGUGUGCUGAAAGAGCAAAUAUGAAAUUUCUGAGCUACCAAAGCAGAACUUACACCAGCCACCACCUCAAGGAACAAAGAUUUCAUGACCACAUUUGAGGACAUAUCUGACAUAGAGCCAAAAGUGAAAGACUUUGAGAUUUCCCAGGAGUGAGACAAAUACCCAUCCUCAGCCCCAUGAGCCUUCUGAUACUGCAAUGAAGUGUUUUUGGUAGGAAAACUUUGGUUGCUUUCUGUUCCAAACAGCACAGCUUUGAUAAAUGCAGCAGGAUUGAUCUGCGCUGUGUGUCCCUUAACUGAGUUACCAUGUAUAAUCCUCUCUGGAACAGAACAUUUACAUUCCACUGACCUAGUUGAAAAAAUGCAUUAAUUUUAAUUUAUGCAAAAUUCUCCCAAUAGAAGAGUGAGAGGAGAGAGGCGAUUUUUUAUUUGCAGUCCUUGCCUGCUU